CCCGCUGAACUUAAGCAUAUCAAUAAGCGGAGGAAAAGAAACCAACAGGGAUUGCCCUAGUAACGGCGAGUGAAGCGGCAACAGCUCAAAUUUGAAAUCUGGCUUCGGCCCGAGUUGUAAUUUGUAGAGGAUGCUUUCGGCGCAGCGCCUUCUGAGUUCCCUGGAACGGGACGCCAGAGAGGGUGAGAGCCCCGUACGGUUGGACGCCUAGCCUAUGUAAAGCUCCUUCGACGAGUCGAGUAGUUUGGGAAUGCUGCUCAAAAUGGGAGGUAAAUUUCUUCUAAAGCUAAAUACCGGCCAGAGACCGAUAGCGCACAAGUAGAGUGAUCGAAAGAUGAAAAGCACUUUGAAAAGAGGGUUAAACAGUACGUGAAAUUGUUGAAAGGGAAGCGCUCGUGACCAGACUUGCGCUCAGCGGAUCAUCCAGCGUUCUCGCUGGUGCACUCCGCUGUGCUCAGGCCAGCAUCGGUUUUUCUGGGGGGAUAAAAGCUCCGGGAACGUGGCUCCUCCGGGAGUGUUAUAGCUCGUUGCACAAUGCCUUCAGAGGGACCGAGGUUCGCGCUCCGCAAGGAUGCUGGCGUAAUGGUUAUCGGCGACCCGUCUUGAAACACGG
rnacentral:rRNA from 1 species